UACGUAGGGUGCGAGCGUUAAUCGGAAUUACUGGGCGUAAAGCGUGCGCAGGCGGUGAUGUAAGACAGUUGUGAAAUCCCCGGGCUCAACCUGGGAACUGCAUCUGUGACUGCAUCGCUGGAGUGCGGCAGAGGGGGAUGGAAUUCCGCGUGUAGCAGUGAAAUGCGUAGAUAUGCGGAGGAACACCGAUGGCGAAGGCAAUCCCCUGGGCCUGCACUGACGCUCAUGCACGAAGCGU
rnacentral:rRNA from 1 species